ACGCUCGACACCUACGGGGGCAGCAGUGGGGGAUAUUGCACAAUGGGGGAAACCCUGAUGCAGCGACGCCGCGUGAGUGAAGAAGUAUUUCGGUAUGUAAAGCUCUAUCAGCAGGGAAGAGAAUGACGGUACCUGAGUAAGAAGCCCCGGCUAACUACGUGCCAGCAGCCGCGGUAAUCUGAGGCGGGCUGGCAAGGC
rnacentral:rRNA from 1 species